UACGUAGGGAGCGAGCGUUGUCCGGAAUUACUGGGUGUAAAGGGAGUGUAGGCGGGAAAACAAGUCAGAUGUGAAAACUAUGGGCUCAACCUGUAGACUGCAUUUGAAACUAUUUUUCUUGAGUGAAGUAGAGGUAAGCGGAAUUCCUAGUGUAGCGGUGAAAUGCGUAGAUAUUAGGAGGAACAUCAGUGGCGAAGGCGGCUUACUGGGCUUUUACUGACGCUGAGGCUCGAAAGCGUGGGGAGCAAACAGGAUUAGAUACCCUGGUAGUCCACGCUGUAAACGAUGAUUACUAGGUGUGGGGGGACUGACCCCUUCCGUGCCGCAGUUAACACAAUAAGUAAUCCACCUGGGGAGUACGACCGCAAGGUUGAA
rnacentral:rRNA from 1 species